GACGAACGCUGGCGGCGUGCUUAACACAUGCAAGUCGAGCGGUAAGGCCCCUUCGGGGGUACGACGAGCGGCGAACGGGUGAGUAACACGUGGGUGACCUGCCCUCAGCUCUGGGAUAAGCCUGGGAAACUGGGUCUAAUACCGGAUAUGACUCCAUGACGCAUGUCGUGGGGUGGGAAAGCCUUGUGCGGCUGGGGAGUGGGCCCGCGGCCUAUCAGCUUGUUGGUGGGGUGAUGGCCUACCAAGGCGACGACGGGUAGCCGGCCUGAGAGGGCGACCGGCCACACUGGGACUGAGACACGGCCCAGACUCCUACGGGAGGCAGCAGUGGGGAAUCUUGCGCAAUGGGCGAAAGCCUGACGCAGCGACGCCGCGUGAGGGAUGACGGCCU
rnacentral:rRNA from 1 species